GACAGAGGGGGCAAGCGUUGCUCGGAAUUACUGGGCGUAAAGGGCGCGUAGGCGGGAUGGCAAGUCGGUCGUGAAAUCCCUCGGCUCAACCGAGGAACGUCGAUCGAUACUGCUGUUCUUGAGGAUUGCAGAGGAGACUGGAAUUCCCGGUGUAGCGGUGAAAUGUGUAGAGAUCGGGAGGAACACCGGUGGCGAAGGCGGGUCUCUGGGCAAUUCCUGACGCGAGGCGCGAAGCGUGGGAGCAACGGGAUAGAACC
rnacentral:rRNA from 1 species